UGGACAGUCUAACUAGAGAUUUAGCAAUAUCACUGAUAUUUCCAAAGAAACAAUUUUGGUUUCAUUGAUUUUCUCUAUUGUUUUUCUACAGUGUAUUUCAUGUA